GGAACAGAUGGCAGUCUGGCCUUAGUCGCUUUCUGGACCUCUAGGCGUUGGAAUUGCUUUCGGUUGAUUACCAACAUUCCAGGUCACUGGGAAAUGCUCAGUCAUCCAGACAGAAUUCUAUGCUGCUGGAGAGAGGGACUCCCAAAUACAUCAAUGAAGAACCAGUUAUCAGUUUGUGUUAUUCGCUGGCCUUAUUUAAUAAUCCCACAGUUUAGUAGCUGUAAACUGUAAUGUUACUAGAAGCCUCUUGAGGAACUUUAAAGAAUGAGUUCUGCUGACUUCUAUUGGUCAGUCAAGACCAGUUCACACAAAAGAGGAAAGCAAACAUACUCCACCUUCUAAUGUAACUUCAAGGAAUUUAUGGCUGUAAUCUUUCCCUGGAUGUGCUGGGCCUUUUGUCAAGAGGCCCAUUUAGCUUUCUCCAGCUAGAGUUAGUUGUUCGGUGGCUUGUGUGAAGGUGCACUUAUUUCUGGGUCUCUUCAAGUGUGAUGCUCAGACAGUGAAUGAUUGGAAUCCACAUAUGCAAGGUAUCUAGUCUACUUAGUUAGAAAGACACAGCUGUAACAAAGAUUUAAUUUUAGAACUGAUUUUAAUGUCUUAGGAUAGCAACUAAAAUAUAAGUAAUGGAGUACAUAAGCUUCAAGCAUCGGGUAAAAUUUCAAUGAAAAACAUCAAUACCAAGAUAAGAGCACAUGCAACAAAUACAGAAAAAACAAGAUCUAGAAAUUAAUCCAAAUUUGCUAUCAAUUGCAUUAUACAUAAUGGACUAAAUGUUCAGGGUAAAAGAAUUGUUAGUUGGGAUUUUUCAAGUAUUCAGAGUUUUUGAACUCCAACUAAAGUAUAUAUAAAGACAUCUAGAGCUGGGUUAUACAUUAGUGGUAGAGCACAUGCUUAGCAUGUGGAAAGUUCUACAUUUGAAUCCUAGCACCAAAAACAAUUUUUACCAAGGAUACAAAAAGACUACUAAAAUAAGAAAAGCUAAUAUAACCAUGUAACUAUUUACCAGAGUCCAUGGAAUAAAAACUGUAUCAGAAAAUUUGAAUAGUUCAAGACAGUUUUUCCCCAAAUGAUUUACCAGGUCCCAAAUGCACCUUUGGGUACACUUGUUUUUUGUCUUUUUGGGACAAGUGUCUCACUAAGUAGCCCAGGCUCUGGGUAACAUUGAAUUUGUGAUCCUCCCACCUCAGUCCUGGGCUUACCAAUGUGUAGCACUACACUCUUUAGACAAAUAUUCUUUGCAAGAAUACUGAAUACUUUCAAGAUUAACUCAAGGGAAAGAAUACACAGAUCAUUGGAGAAUGCAAGACAGACCCAGAGUAAACUUAAUUUUACAAUCAGGAAACAUUAGGUAUACAAGAAAAAAAUUAAUUUUUGCUUCACAUGUGAAAAUGAAAGCAUGCCUAGAAAAAUAUACUCAAAAUCUUAAUAUUGGAAAUCUUAGGUGUCCUAUAAACAAAAGAAAUUGAGCAAACAGUUUAAAAUUACAGAAAAUGAAUACCUAAAACAGUAACAAUUACUCUAGAUCAGGAUAACUGAACAAGUGAACAGGUAAAGGAUUUAGAAAAGGCGGAAAUUCGCCUAGCUCAGUAUAUGACACUGUUAUAAUCUACAGCUAUACCAUUAAGCUCAUUUAAAAUUUUAUUUCGGUGGUGCUGAGGACUGAACCCAGGAUCUUGUGCAAGCUAAACACAUACAACCUGUACCACCAAUUCCAUCGUCUAUAUAAAGACAAUUUAUAUGCCAAUGUUACUGAAGCAUACCUAACCUAUGAAAAGCUUUUAUAGCGUGUUAGCAAACAUAAUCAACUUAAGUAUUAAAAAUGAUCCACUGGGCUGGAGAUGUAGCUCAGUGGCAGAGUGCUUGCUUGCCUAAUGUGCUUAAGGCCCUGGGUUCACUACCCAAGCAACCAUACAAAACAAAAAUGAUCCUUAAUGUAAAAAUUAUGUAUUGACCGUAUCUAGGAAUGCAAGAUUAACAGAAAACUAAUAAAUAAUCAUCAUCAUUACUAAAUGAUCACCUUUAUUUUAGAGUCAUGUUACUCACUCAUGUACUUAUUAGGUACUAUGGGUCAAAUGAAAUCCUAGGUACUUGAGUCGUACCAGUAAAUAAACAUGAUCAUCACAAAGGAUGCAGAGAAAGCAGUCAAUAAUUAUGAAGCAUUGUAA